rnacentral:rRNA from 1 species
AAAAGACGGAAAGAGCUUGCUCUUUUCAGAAUUGAGUGGCAAACGGGUGAGUAACACGUAAACAACCUGCCUUCAGGGAUGGGGACAACAGACGGAAACGACUGCUAAUACCGAAUAAGUUCCAAGAGCCGCAUGGCCCAUGGAAGAAAAAGGUGGCCUCUACCUGUAAGCUAUCGCCUGAAGAGGGGUUUGCGUCUAAUUAGCUGGUUGGAGGGGUAACGGCCCACCUAGUCUUCGAUGGAUAGGGGUUCUGAGAGGAAGGUCCCCACAUUGGUACUGAGACACGGACCAAACUCC